rnacentral:misc_RNA from 1 species
AAAUGCGCUCAGUAGUGUGAAUUGCAGAAUUCAGUGAAUCAUCGAAUCUUUGAACGCACAUUGCGACCUUUGGUAUUCCAAAGGGCAUGCCUGUUCGAGCGUCAUUUGUACCCUCAAGCUUUGCUUGGUGUUGGGCGUCUUGUCUCUAGCUUUGCUGGAGACUCGCCUUAAAGUAAUUGGCAGCCGGCCUACUGGUUUCGGAGCGCAGCACAAGUCGCACUCUCUAUCAGCAAAGGUCUAGCAUCCAUUAAGCCUUUUUUCAACUUUUGACCUCGGAUCAGGUAGGGAUACCCGCUGAACUUAAGC